AAUAUCUACAUUUUUACAGAAAACGUCAACAACGUCAACGACAACCUACAGUUGGGCAGACCAAUAUAGAAUUUGAUGCUGCAAGGCCUGACGCCCUGGGUCACAGCACAGAGCACACGAAGUCUGGAUUACACCACAAAAACAAACGACGAAUAUCCAGGUUAUCUUCCAUGAAAGGGCGGAGGUCCUCAAAGAGUCCGAGUCAUAAAUCCACAAAGAGUCAUAGAGACAAGUCCUCAGAAAGACCGCAUCAUAAAUCCCUCGAAGAACAGUGAAAAAGAGAUCCUGUGUAUUAGUUUUUGUUCGGUAAUGGAAAUUUAAUGGAGAGGUGUAAAUAAAGUGUAAAGAAGGAA